AAAUUAAUUGAAUGUAAGGGUUUUACAUCAUUCAUAAACCUGAGGUGAACAUAUUUCUGAUUUCUCUUGAGUAAAGCAUUCACAAACAUGAUCUCUGAAUUAAACAUAUCAUCUGCAUUCGAACAUCCUCAAUACCUAAAGUUCUUCUCUUAUUGUCAUAGCAUGUCUUGCAAGAUAUCAUUUCUAUCUCCUAAUAAUAAGCAAUCCAAAAGUUCAAUCAUGAAAAGCAAUUAAAGGCCACUGUUGGAUUGCAAGAUUGUGACUGAUAUGAUUCCAUAACUGAAUACUGUUUUAAGUGUAAAACCAGCAUUUUCAAUCUAGUGGGUGUUAGAUGAUUUCAAAGAAUGAGAUCCCCAAGUUUGCAGGCAUAUUCAAGUGUAGUACUGUGGCCCUUUCUCUAAUUGUCCCCAGGUUUUGCCUUUUAAAAUCUCUGCUUCCAUCAUAUUACGCCAACAAUCUGUAAAGACUAAAUAAAAACAGUUUUUGUGUGUAUGCAUAGACAUCCACAGUUCUUUUUUCUUCUUCGAUGUGACAGUUACAAAGAAGUAAGUGAAAACAAAAUCAGAGGAAAGAUGCCAUAGGUCAUAAUAGAGGUUAUUGAUAGAUAAUUUUGAGUACACAAGGUCAAAAUGAUUUAAAUGUAAUAAAAACAUUUCUAUAGGAAGACAAACCUGAAAAUGGCUUACUAUGCUGCUCUUUUGAUGAGCUAGAACCAGAUACAUUCGAGGAUCCAGGACCUACUUUUGCGGAAUUUACCUGGGAGACAACAUCGACUAAUAUAAAUGUAAGUGUAAAUUAUAAGAUGGUUCACAUGCAUCUCACUGGCUACCAUUGCAUUAAAGAAACAAUUAAUUUAAUGCACCUCAGUUUUUUACAGCAAUGGCCAAGGAGAAUAUAAACAUAC
rnacentral:lncRNA from 1 species